GAUGUUACAGGACAUCCGAUAAAAUUGGAACGAUAUAGAGAAGAUUAGCAUGGCCCCUACGCAAGGAUGACACGCAUAAAACGAGAAAUUGUGGUUUUAUGU